GCUCUGCCCCCCACCCCCCAGCCCACCCACACACAAAGACCCAGCUCGCGAGCAGAUCGCCAGAUCCCGACGACACCCGACGCCGCCGCUCCUCCCGAUGGCGCGUUCCCUCCUCCCGACAUCGCCCCUCCUCCCAAUGGCGCUCCUCUCCUCCGACGGCGCUCCCUCCUCCCAGCUCGCGAUCCGUUUCCCGACACCGCUCCGCCGUCCUCUCGUCGCCGAUCCCGUGACUGGCGCCGCCCGCCGCCAGCUGCUGACCAUCCCCCGCAUUCAAGGCGAUGCCCUCCCGUUCCUGACGCCGCUCGCUCCUCCCAUCGCCGUUCCGCGAGUCCGAUCCGUCCUCCCGUCACCGUCGAUCCCUCUCUGCCUGCCUUCCGAUCAGGUAAAGGUUUGGUUACAAUGAAGGGUUUUAACGGAUCAUUUCCUAAUGCUGCGUCAUCUGCUAAGAUAUUUGCUGUUCUUGCUGGUGUUCAAAGUUUGGUAGCCUGCUCUUUGAGAAAACUAUGUGGAAAAGAUGAUAGUUUGUCUUCGGGGAUACGUGCAUCUCAAUUGAAAAUAUUACACUAUCAUUAUUAUCGUAUUUUGCAUGUUAACUAGUUUUUUCAUUCACAUUUGUUAUUUGCAACUAUGAAAUUAACACAAUGCUGACUCCUUAUUGGAAAGUACAUUUGGAAAUAAAAUUGCUAGAGAGAGAGGAGCUCGCUGCUGGCGCAUCCUGGAGGGAGGAGCAAAGCUCUGUUGUCAUUGCAAGGUUGAUGAUAAUGGCAAGCACAACAGGUCGGCUGGGCAGGAAACAGAUUGUGACAGCAUAAACUUAUUCCUUGAGUUACAAAGUCUGUGUUGUAUUAGUGAUGCGUUCCUCAGGAUUGAAAGUUUAGCCUGCUUUAUUAAAAAUAUUACAUUUUGUAAAAACUAUUGUUCGUUAGGUGGCUAGUCUCUGAUAGGGUCUCUUUUUUGGCAAGGGCCAUGUAUCUCUGUAUGUAUGUUCUUUUCUUUGUGAUUAAAAAUAUUCAGCAGAAGCCUCCUUGGUGUUUCCUCGCGGAAACAUAAAUACCAACAGUUCAUACGACUUUUCUUUCACUA